UUUCGCAAUGCCCGAAAGGGUGACGAAGCGACGCCGCGUGUGGGAAGAAGGCCCUCGGGUUGUAAACCACUGUCGGGAGUUAGGAAAUGUAAGGGUGCUAAUAGUAUCCUUGCUUGACUAAGGCUCCGGUGGAAGCCACGGCUAACUCUGUGCCAGCAGCCGCGGUAAUACAGAGGCGGCAAGCGUUGUUCGGAAUUAUUGGGCGUAAAGAGCACGUAGGCGGCCUUGUAAGUCAGUUGUGAAAGCCUUCUGCUUAACGGAAGAACAGCAGCUGAUACUGCAAGGCUAGAGUGCGGAAGGGGAGAGUGGAACUUCUGGUGGAGCGGUGAAAUGCGUAGAUAUCAGAAGGAACACCGGCGGCGAAGGCGACUCUCUGGUCCGUAACUGACGCUGAGUGUGCGAAAGCUAGGGGAGCAAACGGGAUUAGAUACCCCGGUAGUCCUAGCCGUAAACGAUGGGCACUAAGUAGAGGGGUUUUA
rnacentral:rRNA from 1 species